rnacentral:lncRNA from 1 species
CGAUAUUAGUUUUCAUGCAACCCCGGCCCAUUGUUCUCUAUCUCUUCUUAAUUUUUAUAUCUCCGAAACUCGCAUGGAUAAGAAAAUGGUUGAUGUUAAAGCGUCGGUAAUGGAAUGCCAAAAAGCAAUACUAGAGACUGAGAAGAAGAAGAAGAAGACGAUAACGAUGAAGAAGAAGAAGAGAGGAAGAAUCAAGCGAAAGCUUUUUGCCCUUUUGUAUAAAAAACUGAAGCUAGCAACCCUAUAUUUCAUCGGUCAUUAUCUUCUUAGCAAGACCACCACCACCACCACCACCACCACCAACAAGAGUUUGAGUUAGCAAUUUCUUCCUUCUGUAUAUAUAUCUUGAGUUACUUUCUAGGCUUGUUGCUUAAAUCUUCCUUUGGUAAAUGCAUUUUGUUUUAAAGGAAUUGUGUUUGCUAUUGUGGUCUUGUUAAUAAUAAUCUUUUGAUGAGAUCUUCUAAGAAAACGAUUGUUGGAUACUGUCUAUUUUGAAUAUAUUCAAACAUUUUAAAUUUUAUAUUUGAAGUACAUCUAAUAGUUUUUGGAUACGAUAUACGAAUAUGAAAUAACACACAAGAAAAACAAUAACAUGAGGAUGAGAAAAAAAAGCAUUGCAAAUAUUCAUAUAACAUGUGUGUUAAUGUGUUAAAAUAUGCAGACGUAUCAGAGUUAUAAUAUGUGAAAAUGCAUGUAAAUGACAAUACGUGGAUUAUUGUCAACUUUAAUAAGAUAAAUCUGCCUCUAUUGACAUAUUUGGCGGUGUCGAGAAGCCACGUCAUGUAACCCACUUUGUUUCAAGGCUGAUAUCAAAAUUGAAGAGAAAUAAGGGGUCAAUCCAUUCGCCAUUGGUGGUCUGCAGAGAGACUUGAUCGACCUUACUUGAAAAGACAAUUAUUCUCUCUUUAUCAUAAGAGUAUGCAAUUAAGGAGAUAAUUAAUUAAACGUGCAUUUCUUAUUUAAUAAAAGAAAAAAAACAAGGACCAUCAAAUAUUAGUUUCACUCAGCUCAUCCCCUCUCUUGGUCACAAAUUCAAUAACAGCUAGGAUAGCCGCUUCUGCUGACUGCUUGAUCCUGUCACAAAUUGCUGGGUGUCUGCAAGUAAUGAUCAAGAAUUUAAAUUUGGGACAAGCUAACGCAAAGAUAUAUCUCACCUUAUCCAUUGUCAAAAGAAUACAGACAGAAACAACAAUUGUAUUAAAAACCUCCAUCUUUUUGUAUGUUCAAUUAAAUGCCAACAUGUCCUAUAUGGGUUAAUAAUAAAAAAAAUAAUUUUAGCAGGAUCGGAAACUUCAUCUUUUAACUUCAGAAUCCGUAUCUGCACAGCGUGGAAGAUAGAAUUAUCUCCCAAAGACAAAUGCCAGUGGAAGUUAAAGAAAAAUAAACAAGAUUAGCAAGAGGCAUGAAAGAUUUGCAAAAUACCAAGGCA